GCCUCUAUGGCGCAGUGGUAACGCGUUGCACUUGUAAUGCAAAGAUCCCUCGUUCGAUCCGGGGUGGAGGCA